rnacentral:rRNA from 1 species
UACGGAGGGUGCAAACGUUGCUCGGAAUCAUUGGGCGUAAAGCGCACGUAGGCGGCCUGUUAAGUCGGGUGUGAAAGCCCUGGGCUCAACCCAGGAAGUGCACUCGAAACUGGCGGGCUUGAAUAUGGAAGAGGGUCGCGGAAUUCCCGGUGUAGAGGUGAAAUUCGUAGAUAUCGGGAGGAACACCUGUGGCGAAAGCGGCGCACUGGACCAUAACUGACGCUGAGGCGCGAAAGCUAGGGGAGCAAACAGG